rnacentral:rRNA from 1 species
AUUGAACGCUGGCGGAAUGCUUUACACAUGCAAGUCGAGCGGCAGCGCGGGGCAACCUGGCGGCGAGCGGCGAACGGGUGAGUAAUGCAUCGGAACAUGUCCAUGUCGUGGGGGAUAGCCCGGCGAAAGCCGGAUUAAUACCGCAUACGCCCGAGAGGGGAAAGUGGGGGACCGCAAGGCCUCACGCGAUUGGGUUGGCCGAUGUCCGAUUAGCUAGUUGGCGGGGUAAAGGCCCACCAAGGCGAUGAUCGGUAGCUGGUCUGAGAGGAUGAUCAGCCAAACUGGGACUGGGACACGGCCCAGACUCCUACGGGAGGCAGCAGUGGGGAAUUUUGGACAAUGGGGGCAACCCUGAUCCAGCCAUUCCGCGUGAGUGAAGAAGGCCUUCGGGUUGUAAAGCUCUUUUGUCCGGAACGAAACGGGUAGCGUGAAUAUCGCUGCCUACUGACGGUACCGGAAGAAUAAGCACCGGCUAACUACGUGCCAGCCGCCGCAGUAA